rnacentral:rRNA from 1 species
UACGGGGGGGCAAGGCGUUGUUCGGAAUUAUCUGGGCGUAAAGGGCGCGUAGGCGGCCUUCUAAGUCGGACGUGAAAAUCCCUCGGCUUAACCGAGGAACUGCGUCCGAUACUGAAAGGCUUGAAUCCGGGAGGAGGGAUGUGGAAUUCCAGGUGUAGCGGUGGAAUGCGUAGAGAUCCGGAGGAAGACCGGUGGCGAAG